AUGCGAAUAGUCACAGUAAAUUUUCGCCACAAGAACAAAAAAAUCAGUUUUGGGGUCAGUCAACUUUUCGUACCACCCGUCUGUUAUCCGCAACGUGUUUUAAAUGGCUCUAAACUGGCUCGUCUUAUUCAGGAAUUUAGUGAAACGUCGUGGGGGGGUUUUUGUCGCCACCUGGCAACAUUGCGCCCAGCAGCGGCCCGCGCUGGAAUCAGGCUGGAGCGCAAGGCGGACAGUUCGCACCGCACCGCACCGCACCGCACCGCCGGGCGUCGCGUCUCUCCGCCGCUCCUCCCGCGACCGUCCGCCGUCAACGUGAACCGCGAAGUCUGGAGUCCUGCGGCUGAGACACUGUGCUGGAGAGCAGGAUCUGCAGGAUCUCACUGCUGAAGGUGUGUGUGUGUGUGUGUGUGUGUGGUGCGGGGCCCAGAGGUGAGCGCAUGAGGAGAGGGCGUGGCCCACCCCACAGUGCUCCCGGCAACACAGCCAGCAACGCAGCCCCUGCUCCCACUUGAGCCCCAACCAGGUCCUCUGCUGUAGCCAUGGUAAGGAGUGUGUGUGAUGUCCUCACAAAGACACUUAUAAAAGCAAUAGGUCAUAGUGGGGACACUUUUUCUCUUACAAAUGGAGUGUGGUUCCCAGGUUUA
rnacentral:lncRNA from 1 species